rnacentral:misc_RNA from 1 species
UCUCUCUCUCUCUCUCUCUCUCUCAUGGCAGGAAAACCAGCCGAAGGGGCUCCAGAGCAGCUGAAAUACCAGACAUGGGUCCUGAAAGUCUCAAUCCACUGUGAAGGCUGCAGGAAGAAAGUCAGGAAAGUUCUCCAGGGAGUCGAUGGUGUUUAUAUGACAGAGAUUGACUCUCAGCAGCAUAAGGUUACAGUGAGUGGCAACGUCGACGCCGAGACUCUUAUCAAGAAAUUGGCAAGGUCGGGGAAACAUGCAGAACUUUGGCCUGAAAAGCCAGAGAAGAAGAAUAAGAAGUCAGGAAAAUCCAAGAGCGAUGGAAAACAAGACCCUGAUCAAGAUAGCCAGGAAGUUGGUGCUGGUGAUGACGGCGACGAUGAUGAUCAAAACAACAUAAAAGAAAAGCCUGACACUGUUGCUAAAAGUGGUGGUGGUGAUGACCAACCACUGGAUGCCAAGGGCGAGGGGGCUGUUGGAGAAAGCGCUGCUGCAGCUACUGGCGGAGGUGGAAGUGGAGGGAAAAAGAAGAAAAAGAAGAAGGGAGGGCAAAAUGGUAAUAAUCCUAAUAAUGGUAACAGUGGUGGUGAUCAUGCCGGUGACACACCAGCAGACGGCAAAUCUCCGGCGGUUAUUGAAAACCCAGCUCCACCUAUGGCAUCAAUGGACUAUAUCCCACCACUUCAGCAUGUAUACCCAUAUCAUCUUCCAGUGUAUUAUGCCGCUCCUCCAGCUUAUGGAGUAAACUACAACACAGCAAAUCCUAGUACCAGUGCAUCAUACUAUGCUCCUUCCAUGCAUGCUCAUCCGUAUUCUCACCCUGAGAGGUACCCUCCACCACCUCCACCAUCUGAACCAAUCAAUAGGAUGAUUCAUGAUGAUGAUUAUGAUAAUGAUGGUGGAUGCUCAAUUAUGUAAGAAAAUUAGUAUACGUAAUAUCUAUUCUAGUGCUAAUGGAUUGCGGGGAAGGUGGAUAGGGGAUUAUAAUUAAUUUUUUAAUUCCACUAAACUUGUAAU